GUUAAAUUAAAUCUUUAAUUAAUUUCAUCUUUAAAUACUUCUUAAUCAGUAGUUAAUUUUAAUAAUGUGUAUUGGUAAUUGGUAAAUUAUUGGUUUUUGUUUAAAUUAAUACAAAUACAUCAACCAAGCAUAAUUGUUUCUACCUAAAUCUCUGUGUUUUAACCCUACUGGUUUAUUUUCAAAGCGUUUGCUGUAAUUAUAUACAUUGGCCAGAGGUUUGGAUGUUGGCUCAAGUAAAGGUAACGGUUCUUAAUGAUAAGUUUGCUGUUAAUACAAUGUUUACUGUAAUCUAAAGCACGAUCAUGUUGAUGGUGAUAUUUAGCUGUAAGAGAGGAAAGGCCUGAGAGAAGUGAACAAAUAGGAGAGAGAGAGAUAGCAAAGGUAAAGAAGAAUCGUAAAGAUAAUGAUGAUGAUUAGGGACGAUUAUUAAGGCUGGGAGAAGUUGAUUGAAUUUAAAUUGCUUCAAAUUAAUCCACAAAUUAGUUUCUCACUUUGUUACUUAAUUGUUGGAUAAAUCAACCUGUCAUCAUCACCAUUCACUUAUCAUUUACAUGUGAAUCAAAUUAUCAUCUAGAUUUGUAUUUUACUUCAGCUCUAUUCCUAUUCUCGCCUCUGAAUAUUUUCUGGCCAUUUUUCACUCUACAUUAUAUUCACAAAGAUUUACAUUUUCACCUUUUUCUUAAAUUGUAAAUUGCAAGGUAAAUAUAAUCUAGCUCAAUAUUAAUUAAAUGAUGAUUAUUUAAGACUAGAAGAGUAACUUGUUUUUUGGCUCUUCUGGUCCUUAAUUUAUGCUGCUCUUGAAGUCAACAUUUUUAUCAUGCGAUAAUCCAGUGAAAAAUGAAAUGUAAAAGGUGAAAAUGAAGUUAACAUGAUCAUAAUAAUCAUUAAGUAUGAGAAAUCAGAUGGUAAUAAGAUUAAUAAUAAUACAGUGAAUUUUCAUUCACUCCAAGUAGUUUGUCUUGUAAUGUUAACAACUUUUUGAUAAUCUGAUAAUCAGAACAUGGAAAGCAAAUAAAUCAAAAUGAUAAUUUUUCAAUUCUAGAAAAAUAUUUGGUGAUAAGAAACAUGAUUAUUAUUCAUUGUCAACUUUAAUAUUUUGGGUAAGACUUAAUCCCAAUAGUUGACAAGUAUAUCUUGAGGUAGACUAAAGGUAAAUCCAUUGCGAUUCAGCAUUUACUGGAUUCUCUGUCGUCUUUAUCAGCUAAUUACUAAUUUGAUAAGACGGAUUCAUUGUCUAAAUUGAGCUUAAAUGAUUAUCUUAAUGAUUGUCAUUGCAAUCAAAAAUGAUCCGCCAAAGAAGCAAGGAAAAGCAAACUGAAGGAAACGGAGAAGAAGGUAAAUCAAGAUCAUCAUCUUUUGGGAAAUGAUUAAUGAUUAAGAGUCUUAGUGACUUGAAAAAUUUAAAGAAGGACCACGCUUUUAAUCCUCUGAUGGUAACUAAAUCGUUAACCAUAAUUAUAUUGUGAUUAUGUUAAUAGCUUAUUGGAACGCGAUUAGCAACAUUGUUUGGUUAGGCUUUUCAUUUUGUUUGUCGCGCUCAAGAUUGCUGCAAGUUGGUGACCAAUGGUGAUUAGCAACCAGAUGAGUAGACCGAAUCCUUUGUCUUUAAAUCUUAAUUAGCUAAUCUGGAUUUAAUCUUUAAUUUUUGUCUCUUUUCCUUGUAUCUUGUUAAUUGUUGUAGUGCCAGUUUUAAAAAUGUUAAUCGCCGGCUUAAUUGAUUUUCCAUGUUAACCAUAAUCUUGUCCAUAAAUUAACCGGAGAUGUUCAAAAGUCAACCUGUUGUGUCUUGCCAUAUCAAUGGUAAUCUUUUGUUAACUGGAUUCACUUAGGAUUGAAAACGUGGCAUCCUCAAUUGGAUAUUAACUUUAUGUCAUCAUGUGAAAUUAACUUGUAACUUUGUUCAGAAAAUUUCAUUUUUAUUUUUUCUCAGAAUUAGUUUAAGAAACUGAAUCUAUCAAGAAAAGAUGUUGGAAAAUUUAAGCGUCAUUUUGUGUCAACUAGAGAUCAUCAAGUCCAAUUGGCCAAUGGUUCAUUUAAAUUAACACAUCAUUAACUAUCUUGAUUACCUGUUAAUGAUCAAGGUUUCAGUGAUUUCUGAUUAAUCGCAAGGUUGAUGGCUCAUCAUUUACAAAUUAUAAUCGAUUACAACGCUUGUCUUUAUGUUAACAAGUUAAACUGAAUCAUAAUCAUUGUCUUUCAUCUUUUGAUUCAUUUAAUAACUUACUUUUUAAUAGAUGGCCAAAAGUAUCGAUUGAUUGAUUUGGUGGUUUUCAGGAGUAAACUUUGAUUGGUUAUUAAUCACAAUCUUAAUCGGUAAUUAACAUACCGUUGAUGAGAAUCAAAGUCAACAUUAAAAAGUAUAUCUUUAUCCAGAUUCAAGGCGAUUCAGUGCAUGAAAGAAACUGAACUGGAUUGAUUUAAACAUGAUUGACCAAUCAGCCCUUCAACCAACGUAAAUAAAAAGGUGAUUGUUAAUCAUAUUUACAAAUAUGACAAAUGCUCAUCAACAAAAGCACUAAUCUUAUUUUUUGUUUGGCUUUUCCCGUGUUAUUGUGAUUUGAAAUAUAAAAGUUGCUGCAAAGUGCAUUUAAUUUUAUUUAAACUGAUGAUCAAAAAUUCCUUUGAUGGUCUUUUAAUCGCUGGAAUAAACAAAUGGAUUUAGAUGAAAUUUUAUUGAAAUGUCAGAAUGAAAUCGUUGAGAUGAAACGCUUUUUGACUUCAAAUUGGCUUACAAACAAAAGUGUUGGAUUAGCUAAAUAAUUGCUAUUAUCAAUAUAAAUUUCUGUCUAGAUGAGUAGAUUUAAUUUUCAUCUGUUAAUUGACUUAAUCACGAGAUAAACAAAAAGUGAAAAUGUUAAAUAAUUUGGAAGCUAAUUUUCAAUUAAAGGUUGACAAAUUACAAACUGACAACAAAUUAUAUGGUUAAGGAAAGCGUUUAGUUUUGUGAACAAUUUUUGGUUACCUUGUUAAGAUGUUGAUCAACCUGAUCAUGAGAAAAGAAGAAGAAACUGAUGAUUAUGAUGAUAAAGGAAGAUGAAGAAUGAUGAAGAGGGAAAGGUAAGAAGAUGAAAGGAAGAUAAAAACAGGUAAAGGUGGCAAAAAUGACGGAAAUAAUUGUCCACAAAAUAAACUGUUUAACAUCACCUUCUUAAAAAUUGAGGCUCUCUUAAUAAGUAACAACACGAAGAGUAUCACUUGGAAUCAUAUUUCAGUGAACAUGUUAAUUGUUCAUUUAAAUUAAUAAAAGAGUUUAACUGAAACCUUGAAAAGGUUGACAGUUGGUUCAAAGAAACAAAAUUUACAUAUAAAAUAAUCCAAGUUAAUAUAAUAAUAAUAUACUUACCUGAUGAUGACGAUUGUCACGUUGAUCCAACCUACCUAAUAUAAACUCCUCUUUAAUAAUAUUCAUAAACAUGAAACUAACAAUCUUAAACAUCCUUUCUUAUUAUCAUAUUAUUAGUCUGAGCGAAGCGAACUAUUAUUUUAUUAAUUUCUGGUUUACAUGGUUUAAAUUAGAGUCUUUAUCAUCGUUGAUUACCUCUUGAUGAACAUUUCAUAUAACAACAGGCUAAUGAACUUGUUAAGCCUAAACAAAAUAAUUCAUGUUUUGAUGUAAUGAGCGCCUAAUUUUUUCGAUACAUCGAUGUCUUGCAAUUGAUUGGAAAUUUUGUUUGCAUAUUUUUUGAUGAAUCAUUUGAAGUCAACUUUUUAAUAUUAACUUGAAUCUUCGCUCUUUUAAUGAAUUACAAUUAUAUUUUCUUGUACUUCCACCUUAAAAUAUUUACAUUUCAGUAUUUCUUUUUAUCUCUUUGUGUUUGCUCUCUUCAGAUGUUCAGGGUUGCAGUUAUGAAGUUUCCAACAAGAUGAAGAUUGAAGAUGAGUCUUGGUAUUUGUACAAAGCUGAACACACCUUGAAGAUGGAUUUCUUAUUGUUCAAGAAAGUCAAAUAACGAGAAUGAUGAUGUUUAUAUAUAUUUGUUAUUAUGUGGUUUGGUGAAUUAUUCAAGUCAAUUGAUUGGUGAGAGAGAUGGAGAUCAAGUCUCGCCAUAUGAAGACCAUCAAGUUGGCCGUCAAUCUUGUUCAUUUGAUGGAUUGGUGAGGCUACUUAAGAGGAUGCUAACUAGGGAGUCCUAAGACCUUUUUUUAAUUCCUUCAUCAUCAUCAUCAUACCAAUCUUCAGUUGCAUUUACUCCAUUUUUCUCAGACCCUUCUUCCCCUGGUUCAUUCUAGUUUGUCUUCUUUUCUUUUACCUUUUCAACUCUCUCCUCCUUAUCAUUUUUGUUUCAGAUUUUACUCUUCUUCUAAUUAAUUACAGCCAUUGAUUCACAAGCAAACACACAACUACAGCCAACAUAACAAUAAGUAAUUUGAUUCGUACUGGCUGUAAGGUCAACAAUAACUUAAACCAUUGGUUAAAUUGGAUAUUACAACUCAUACAGAAGUGUAGCUUUCAAGACAUAAAUCUGGACGAUUCUUGAUAUUUUAAUAUAACCAGCCAACCAAUAUUGUUAAUCGCCCUGAUGAUAGGAAAAUAACCUGAUCAAUAUCAUCUCUAAUUGAAGCCAAACGUUUGGUUGCAUGAGGUAAAGCGAGAAGUCACAAUCAUCCAAGCCAGAAAAAAAUAGUUUCAAGUGUUUAUUUGGUUACACUUUUUGUGUUCAAUUUGAUUGAUGGGUUGUAAUGGUGCGUGAUUAUUAUUAUUCAAAUCAACAAAGAUAAUCGUUAACAGGUUAAACAUGUGAAAUGUUAAUUUCAAGUUGAAAUAAGAUUGCAAUUGGGACCACAGCAAGAGAGUGAAAAUUAGAAAAGCAAAAAGAAACAGUUUUCAAUCAGAAAUGCAUAAAGAUUACUUUUUUUGCCUCAAUAAUAUUGACCCUUUCAAAAUUUAAAGCUCAAGAUAAUGUCAAAAGUAUCAAAGUUUAUCUUUGACCUGAAUAACCUUAUCAUUUAGCCUUUGCUCUUUACAGUUUAACAGCAGUAACCAUCUUAAAGAUAACAUUUCCAAUGAAUAAGAAUGAUCAGUCUAGGCCACUUUUAAAUCUUUGCUUUAUGAAUUUCAAUGGAAGCAUGUUCAACAUCUUGACCUAAGGUCAACUCAACAAUGGAAAAUCGCUAUUUUUUCUUUUUCAAUAGAACAGGGUAACGCCUUUUAUUUUCCUAUGGCGUGAUUCAUUUCAAUUGUGAAUUGAAAAUGAUCCGACAACAACAAUAGUAAAAAAGGGUUACACUACAAGCUGAUAAUAAAAAGCUGGUGUUUACUUGAGGCUAGUUUGUGCUUGACAAACAACAGUGAAAACAAUAUUCAAUAAACUGAGUAAAUCUAAA